GGACCAAAUAUUUAUGCCUGGAAAAGCCCUGAAAAGCCAGGCAAGACCUUGGUCCUAAUAUACUCAGUAUUAGGCUAAGGGAUUAGGCUUAAGAGAAAAAGGCAUGAGCCCAGAAAUGCGAGGGCGACUUGGGGAUUUAGACUCAAGAAUAAGGCUUACAUGCAAAUGCCAGAUCAGAACCAAACCAGCAGAAAGAUCCCGGGGCAGGACUGAAUCUGCAGAGAGAGGCCACAUGACACCAGAUGUGAAGAAGGGAGAUGUGAGAAAUCAUCACUUUUGAAUGAGAUUUUCCUCUCGUUUUGCAUCUGCAGCAAAUCUCUAUAAGAGCAUCAUUUCAAACAUUCUCUAACUUAAAGUUUAAGUUACGAAUAAUUUA